UAUAAAUAGCAUGCACUCAUUGUAAUAGAGGAUAAUUUUAUUAAAUAAAAAAUAAAAAAAUGUGAGGUUUUGCUCUUCUUUUGGUUCUUCAAGAAUUGUGAACUUAUCAGGGAUUCUUCCUUGUGGCGUUCAAACUUUAUACCUUUGGUACGUGAUUCCAUUGUAAUCAUUGGGUCAAGGUCUGUUACUUAUGCUUUUGGUUUGCGUUUCACUUAUAAGCGUUGGGUUAGGGUUCUAUAAAAAAUCUGUAUUUUAGCUUUCUUGGGCAAUUAUUCCAAUACUGUUUGUUGGGUCUCAAAGCGUGUUGAUUGAGGUUCGCAUCACUAUGGAGACACUCAACAGCAGUUUAGGCUUAUAGAUACCAGCCUUAGACCUAGUCACCAUAGGAUGAAUAUUGUGAGUGCGAGAAGAAGCAAGUAAAUAUGUAUCCACACUAGGUACAUGCAGGUCCACCCUAUGAGGAAGGGGAAAAUGAGGUGGAACAGAUGGAGACAUAGAGUGUGAAAAAAAGGGAAAUGAGGUAGGGGCAACGAGAGGGGAACAAGUACUAGAGAUGGAAGAAGAAGAAGAGGAAAAAGAAUGAGAUAUAGAUGGAGAAUUAGAAGGAGAUGGGGAAAUGGGAGGCAAGGGAAUGGACAAAGGAACUGAUAAGAAAGAGUAAAAAGAAAUAGAUUGAGAGAGAGAGAAUAUGACAAAUUCUUGAAUGGAAAAGAAUCCUCAUUAAAAAUCACAUGGCGAGAAAUAUACACCCUACCGGAAUGAAUGUCAAGACACAAAUAACCUUUGUGGUGUGAAUUGUAACCAAGAAAAGCAUACUCCAGUGACCUGUAUUGGAGUUUAUGGGUAUUAUAAGGGCACAAAUAUGGAAAACAAGAGGAACCAAAAACCUUAAGAUAAGUAUAAGUUGGGAGUUUGUGAUAGAGUGCGAAGUAAGGGGAUUGAUGGUGCAACAUAGGAGUGGGGAGACGAUUAAUAAGGUAAAUGGCCGUUUGAAAGGCAUAAGGCUAAUAAGAUAGAGACAUACCUGAGUGAGCAAGAAGAGAUAAUCCCAUUUCAACCACAUUGCGAUUUUUUCGCUCAACCCGCCUAUUCUGUUAUGAUGUGUAUGGACAAGAUAAACGAUGAACAAUGCCCAGAUUAGAAAAUAGGAUGGAGGGAGAUCGAAACUCACCUCCCCAAUCAAAUUGGACAACCUUAAUCUUGGUAUUAAAUUGAUUUUCAAUGAGAGCUUGAAACUUGAGAAAAGUAGGAUAUGCUUUAUCUUUUAUUUUGAGCAGAUAAAACCAAGAAAAACGAGUAUGAUAAUCAAUAAAAAGUAAAAAAUAACGAGCACCAGAAAUAGAGCGAACAGGAGAAGGACCCCAUAGGUCUGUAUAAAUUAACUCAAAAGGUUUUACUGCAAUGGAUGGAGAUGGAGAAAAAGGAAGCAUGUGGCUCUUUGCUAAUUGACAAGAAUUACAAAAAUUAAGACGAAUUUUCUAUGUUCAAGCAAUAUUACAAGAAUCCAAGAUUUGAUUAACAACAGAUAAAGUUUGGUAGCCUAAUCUCUUGUGCCAUAGAUUUGGAUCCUUGAUGGCUAUGAAAACUCAAGGAGAAAAGGAAAUAACAGAAUGAGAGCAUGACGACUGGACUUUGUAUAAGCCAUUAUCAAGUUGACCUUGAAAGAGAACCCUCUUCGAAACCUGAUUCUUGACAAGAAAAUGAGUGGCAUAAAAUUCAACAAGAACUUUAUUAUCACAACACAAUUUUGUAACAUUAAUAAGAUUAUUUUAAAUUUUUAGAGUGUGAUAGACCUGAUGUAAAACAAGAAGAGAAUACGAGAAUGGUAGUUUUGCAGUACCAGGAUGUGAGAUAUAGAGUUGCUUACCAUUCACAAUUGUCACCUGAUCUGAACCACUAAAUGGUGUCACAGUGUUAAGUAUGUUGAUGUCUGGAGUAAAGUGAUGUGUAACACCUGAGUCCAUGUACCAAUUUGUAUGAGGAACAUUUUUAUGUGUAGCAGCAGAAUGAGUCAUAGUAGGGUAAGAAAAUUUCAAAGGAUUAAAGAGCUGGGAAUUUGUGGUGAGAAUAGUAUUGAAAGAUUUAGGAAAAGGUUGGGGUGGAUAGUUCAAAUUUGUGCGAUGAAAGCAAAUAAGUGCAGUGUGUCCAAAUUUACCACAAAUUUGGCAUUGAGGCUUUUGAUUCUAGAUUGAAAAUUGUGGUUUCCAUUGAGGUUGAGGUUGUCGUGGUUGUGGUUUGCCCAAAAUGUUGGGUUGAUAUUGACUAGUGGUUGGCUUAAAAGGUGGAGGAAAGUAUCUAGGUUGAAUGUGAAUGUGAUUGAAUGUAGGUUGAGGAGUUGAUUCAUAAGGUUUCUUGUUUAGAUGAGCCAUAUGGACUUGGGCAGAAUUGAGAGAAACGGAGUUUUAUUAUUCAAGACGGAAGUCAUAGCUAGACAAUAGGCUAUGGAUUUGCUCAAUAGUUGGUUGGUUAGAUCGAUUUUGAAUAGAGGUAACAGAAGGAUUAUACUCACGAUCUAAUCCACUGAACAAAUAGAUUAGAUGGUCUUUCUCAAAAACUAGUUCACCUAUUGUUGCAAGACUGUUGCAAAUGGAUUUGAGCUUUUGAAUAUAUUCACCAACUGAGAGUCCAUCUUUCCUAAGUGUUUGAAGCUUGGUAACCCACGCCAUAGAAAAGACAGUAAAUCUGAUUAAGGGCGUUCCAAAUCUCCACAAUUGUUGAAUACCCAACAAUCUGAGCCAUUAUAUCUUCGAACAAGAAUGCGUACAACCAACUCAUCAGAAGUCGAUUGUAUCUUUGCCAAACCAAGUACUCUAGAUUGAUGAUUUGUUGUUGCAGAUCGAGGAAUUGAGGAGGGCAAGAUCAAGAUCCGCCAAUGAAAUCAUUGAGUCCGUUAGCGAUGAUGACAUUUAGAAGCUGAUUCUUCCAUAUGAGGUAGUUCCCAUUAUCCAGCUUUACUAUGAGAGGUUGAUUCAUAGACGAGAAAGAAAAAGAGGGUAUGGUUACUAGUGGAGGAAGGUUGUUUGACUGAGAUAAUGGGUUUUGCACAUUGAUAGUGCUAGCAGAAGGUGAUUUGGAGGUUUCAUUGAAAGAAGCCAUGGAGGUUCUGAUACCAAGAUGAAAGAGGUGAUGAAACAGAGGGAAACAGAAAGAGAUGAGACGAAAAGAUGUUGAUAUUAUUUAUCUCAAUGGUCUUCUACAAUAACAGAGCAAACAUUGUAUACAAGCAGAAAAUACACAUCCUAACCAACUGUACAUGUGGAGCUAAAAGACUAGAGAAAAAAAUAAUAUCCUAACUAAUUACAUCUUUAGGCUUGACAAGGUUUAUUGCCUUCUGAAAUGUCUUAAUUCUCAACCGACUCCAUGUUGGAUUUUGGAAGAGCAUAAGACAAUUUGAUUGGUCUAGAAGUUAGAUUAUAAAGCCAUCAAAGGUGGCUAAGACAAUUUGGUUGGUCUAGAAGUUAAAUUAGAAGGCAAUCAAAGGUGGCUUUUUGACUUUCUCGACGUCUUCGAGACCAAACAAAGCUUCGUCCACUUCCAUAGAAUUCAAAGAGGAUUAAGUUUUACAAAAACGUUUUUAGUUUUUAAGAAUAAAAAUAUAAAAAUACGUUAGUUGUUAAUUAUUUCAAAAACAGGUUUUGAAUAAUUAAAAAAACAAAAUAAAAUUUUAUUUUAAAGUUAAAAUGUGUUUUUAAAAACAUUUUCCAGAAAGUUCUGAAGUCACCGAAAAGGUUUCAACUUCUCUGACCCAGUCCCAUGGCAAUCCAAGGACUUGGAGGCCAUGAUGUUAAAGACCCAGCAGGCCCGGCCCAAAGGUGAAUUAAUAAAUCAGGAAAAUUAAUAAUUGGAGUUGGGUGUAUCGUUGGUCAACGCCAGGUUGUAAGGGAAACAGGAUGAAAGUUCAGGGAAUCUCCGUCACACGCCAUCUGUUGCCUUCCUAUUGGACCACUCUCACCCCAAAACACACGGGCGACCUUUUUAAAGUUGCGUCUACUCUCAUUUUUUUAGGUUGCAAUCCUAUUCACUCCCCGUGCUUUCCUUUCCCAACUCACAUUUGGUAAGCAUCUUCAACAUCUCUCUUUUUUUUUUUUUUUCUUUUUUUUUUUUUGUUCUUCUAAGCUGUGACUUAGAUCUUCGAUUUUCUGCUUUAUUUCCCUGGAUUUUUUUUUCCUUUUGUUAUAUUUUUGUUGUUGUUUCAAGAUCGGUAAUCACUUUUGUUUGAUUUGUUUGUUCGUUUGUUUUUAUUUUUUGGUAUUGUAUUGUCGAGUGUCUUUGUUCAGAUUUUGUGUUGUUGAUCCGAUCUGAUGAUACAUAGGGCUUAUUACUCCGUUUGGUUGCUGGGUAACUGUAGGAAAAAUGAAUGGAAGGGGAUCAACAGUUCGAACUUUUAUGUUUUCCAUUGUUUGAAUACCUGGGAACAAGAUACUUCUUAGUGAAUGACUUCUCUAGGGUUUCUGUGCUUAGUUGGGGUGAGUUGAGUUUUUUAAAGAGACCAGAAUUUUCAUAGAAGUUGAGAUUCAAAUUAUUAGUUUAUUUUGUUUUUUUUUUCAAAAUAAGUCUUCUGGAUCUGUUUGAUUGCUAGGAAAAUGUGGGAAAAGAAAAGAAGUAAAAAAUUUCUGUCUUAGGUAUCUCAGCAUUUGAGAUGUGAAUGAACAAUUAUGUAGUCAUCUAUCCUUUUUGAUGCAUUUAUUAGGAUUGAUUGAACUAAACUCAUCUUUUUGUUGCAUGAAAGAAAAUAUCGAGAUAUAUCGGUGAUAUAUCAGCCGAUAUAUCGUGUAUUGAAGGUUAUGGAAACGAUAUUUGGUGGAGAAAUAUCGUUACGGCGAAAUUUCGGGAGAAAUCCCAAAAAAUCGGCGAUAUCGACUAUUUUCCCCGAUAUAUCAGAUGGUCAACACAGGUCAACAGUGGGUCAAACGCGCUACAGUGCCUCAAAAUGCCCUUUUGCUAUUAAGGGGACUCGAACCCCAAACCAAAAGGUUUGGGGUUCAGCUCACUUACCCUUAGGGAAGCUUGCCCCUUGUUAAAUAUUAUGGACUAAACAUAUAUAUUUAAAGUCAUUAUAUAAAGAAAAUAUUAAAAUAAUAUUUUAAAGAGCAAAUUAAUUAUAAUUAUUUUAUAAUUAAAUGCAAAAAUUUCUUUUCAUUGAUUACAAAAAAUAUAAAAAUUAUCAUGAUAAUUUUCUUCAUAGUGUUUUUAAUAUCAUUAAUAGAUUAAUUAAAUAUUAAAAAAUUGUACAUAUAUCACAAUUUAUUUUAUAUCAUUUAAUACAAUUGAAUUAAAUGGAUCAUAAUUUUAAUAUUAAUAUAUAUUUUAAAAUUAGACAUAUUAUAAUCAAAUAUCAUAAUAUUAUUAUGAAAUAAUAUUUGAUGUAAUUUAGUAAUAAAUGUACACUUAUAAAAUUCAUAUUUUUAUCGAUGCAUACGAUAUUAUUAUCAAAUAUGAUAAAUCACAUUAUAUAUAUAUCAAAUUAUUUAAUAAAACAACUUAAAAAUAUCAUUAUGCUUCUAAUUACAUUUUUAUGAAGUUUUUCUUAUAUUUUUAUAAAUUUUGAUCAAUUUUAGGUCUAUCAAUAUUUUUUUCCAAAAUAUCCACUGAUAUAUCUCUGAUAUAUCCGUAAAAUCAAAGUACUGAUAUAUCCGUGAGUAUCGAUAUUUUCAUCCUUGUUUGGUAGAACCUAGAGCAACAUAGAGCAUGGAUUCAAAGUUCAAAAUCAUUUCUUUGGAUCAUUAUGGUCUUCAACCGACCAGAGUAUUUCUUGAUGAAUGCUUGAGAGUUUUAUUUGUUAUGUUGAAAGGUAGUUUGAUAACAUUGCAUGUUAUCUCAUGAAGCUUGUUAUUAAUGUGAUAGAAUUGGUUGGAUUUUCUUAUUUGCAGAAUUAGGUCUUAAUUUGUCAUAACAAAGAUGUUGUUGACCGAAUCAUCUCGGGAGGAAAAUGUUUACAUGGCCAAGUUGGCUGAACAGGCUGAACGAUAUGAGGAAAUGGUAGAGUUCAUGGAAAAAGUUGCAAAGACAGUUGAAGUCGAGGAGCUGACAGUGGAGGAAAGGAACCUCCUCUCUGUUGCUUACAAAAAUGUGAUUGGGGCUAGGAGGGCUUCAUGGAGAAUUAUCUCGUCCAUUGAGCAGAAGGAAGAGAGCAGGGGAAAUGAAGAUCAUGUAGCGAUUAUUAAGGAUUAUAGGGCAACAAUUGAAGCAGAGCUCAGCAAGAUUUGUGAUGGGAUUCUAAGCCUUCUAGAAUCACAUCUUAUUCCCUCAGCCGUAAUUGCUGAGUCUAAGGUGUUUUACCUCAAGAUGAAAGGUGAUUACCACAGGUACCUAGCUGAAUUUAAGACUGGACCUGGUAGGAAAGAGGCUGCAGAGAGCACUUUGUUGGCUUACAAAUCUGCUCAGGUCAGUCAUUACCGUGUUGUGUUUUCAAUUUUGCUCUUUCACAUGCAUGGAUACAUAUAUCAAUUAUUUUUUUCUUUUUUCUUCC
rnacentral:lncRNA from 1 species